rnacentral:misc_RNA from 1 species
GUAAAUUUCACUAUAGGAAAAUACGUCAUCUGGGAGGGAAUAGAAGGCAGAGAAACAUGACUGCAUGAUGAAAAGGGAUAGGAAAUAAGGAAAACUUUGUUCAUUUGAUAAAUGUGGGAAAACAAGAAAACUUGAAUUGCAAUUGGAAACUUUGUACAGAAUGUUUGGUGAGUCUGUCUAGCAGUGUUUUAAAUUGACCCACAUUGUGGUGCAGAGUGAAUGUUAUUAGGUGCGUGCUCAUACUGAAAAUUUCAUGUGAAAACAAAGACAAGAAAGGAGGUAAUAUAAGGUCAUGUGAAAUCUUGUGUUGGUGCUGUUUUUUGGGGCUCAAAAGGUGAAGAGGCAGAUUAUCAAUCUCGUACCUGUCAAAUAAUUAGGUUUUGCUUACAUGAUAGGUGUGUUUUUGACUCUAUUUUGUGGGGUUAGGGUAUUAGGAAGGCGGAAGGGACUCUGCAUAUGAGACUUAGAUGUGGCAACUUCUAGUGAUGGAGUAGAUACCAU